UACGGAGGGGGCUAGCGUUGUUCGGAAUUACUGGGCGUAAAGCGCACGUAGGCGGAUAUUUAAGUCAGGGGUGAAAUCCCAGAGCUCAACUCUGGAACUGCCUUUGAUACUGGGUAUCUUGAGUAUGGAAGAGGUAAGUGGAAUUGCGAGUGUAGAGGUGAAAUUCGUAGAUAUUAGGAAGAACACCAGUGGCGAAGGCGGCUCACUGGUCCGGUACUGACGCUGAGGUGCGAAAGCGUGGGGAGCAAACAGG
rnacentral:rRNA from 1 species